CUGUGGUCCUGGAGAAGAGCCUGAACCAGGCCCUUUUGGAUCUGCAUGCCCUGGGUUCUGCCCGCGCAGACCCCCAUCUCUGUGACUUCCUGGAGAACCACUUCCUAGAUGAGGAGGUGAAACUCAUCAAGAAGAUGGGCGACCACCUGACUAACCUCCGCAGGCUGGCCGGCCCCCAGGCUGGACUGGGCGAGUAUCUCUUCGAGAGGCUCACUCUCAAGCACGACUAGGUGGAGACCAGCAGCCUUUGAGGGGGCCCCUCUGACAGCCCCCUGCUGCCAGAGCUUGUGCCUCAGCCUCUCCCUGCAGCCAGGAGACAGCUUUUUAACCACCCAGGAGCCCUCUCCCAAGCCUUGGACCAAGUGGAAACAAUAAAGCUUUUUGCCGCAAA